CGCGUGAGUAACCUGCCUUACACAAGGGGAUAGCCUCUGGAAACGGAGAAUAAUACCCUAUGACAUUACAAUCUCGCAUGAGGAAGUAAUCAAAGUGUUUUAGCGGUGUAAGAUGGACUUGCGUCUGAUUAGCUAGUUGGUGAGAUAACAGCCCACCAAGGCAACGAUCAGUAGCCGGCUUGAGAGAGUGUACGGCCACAUUGGGACUGAGACACGGCCCAG
rnacentral:rRNA from 1 species